AGCUAGAAGUGCAGAAGACCAUUCAAACUGAGGAUACAUAAAAAAACUAUUUCAAAUGUCUAGAUAGUCCUACAUUCCUAACGCUAGGGCAUGAAUGAAAAUUAUGCAUAACUCGACUGAUUCGCGACCAAUACACAAACCAACAUGAAAACUUUGCAAACACACGAGCCAUUUAAGCAUAGUAAACCAGCAAACAAACCAACAUGGGCCAAUAGUCAGAAUACUGCAUUUAAACUGACCAUCAACAGCCUAGAACAACUCUUAAACACCUCUUAAACAAGGUAGAUUUCAGAAUACUGCUUGCACAGUGCAAAACAGGCAGAUUUUCAGCAAAACUACAUGAGGCAAAUUUCUAUCAAGCUAACAUUCCAAACAAAUGUCCUACAAACUGAUUCUAACAGCAAAAGUCGUGUUUCACUAGCCCAAAUGGCCAAAAAUCAGAUUUGAUUUGAUCAAAUGCCAACAACAAACGAUAAGAUUCAGAAUAAAAACCAUAUUCCAAUGCAAAGAUAAGUACAAAGCAUCUCAAAAAAUGUGUGAGAUUAACAAAGAUGAUCCCUAUAUCUUAGUUUGUAAACCCCCAGAACAAGAGGGAGGAGCAGAGAGAAAAAUUUACCUGGAAAGAUUCCAUAUUGCUCGAUAAAUCAACCUUCGAUUUUGGGAGAGAGCUUAGAACAAAUGACAUGAAUCAACACCAGGAGCAACCGAACAAAAUAAAACACCUCGGAAGAACUGAACUAAUCACAAAAGAUGGCUCGACUAGGAUUUAACAGAGAAUCACAACAGUUCUAAAUAGACACCCAAAUUCAGGAAUCAGUUGACAUAUACACAGCCAAACCAAUCCAGAAACACUCGUGCAAAUCACAAACCAACAAAUUAUGACCAACAGUCACCAAGACUUAUACAAUUCUAAACCAGCUGAACUCAAACUCAAUACAUUUCUUAAUCAAAGAUAGGCUACAUGGGAUUAGAAAUGAACCCGAAUCAAUAAACACUCGCGAUUAACUUUGCUCGAACGUUGAAUACAAAUGAAAUCCAAUAGCUAGUAUCAGCAACCAGCAACAGAAAUGAGUAGGAAUCAGUUGACAUAUACACAGCCAAACCAAUCCAGAAACACUCGUGCAAAUCACAAACCAACAAAUUAUGACCAACAGUCACCAAGACUUAUACAAUUCUAAACCAGCUGAACUCAAACUCAACACAUUUCUUAAUCAAAGAUAGGCUACAUGGGAUUAGAAAUGAACCCGAAUCAAUAAACACUCGCGAUUAACUUUGCUCGAACGUUGAAUACAAAUGAAAUCCAAUAGCUAGUAUCAGCAACCAGCAACAGAAAUGAGUAGGAAUUAGAAGCUCAGACAGCGACACACUCAAGCAACUUUCAAUCGAACUCCAUUUUGAGAACCAAAAUCAAAACAAAUAUUGAAAUCUUUUGGUGAUUUUCUGAUUUCUUCUAAAAUGAAACUCAAGUAAAAAUCAAACUCAAACUAUUAUUUUUUGUAUUUUUGUUUUUCUGAAAAUGCAGUACCAACGUGAAGAGAAAGAAAACUAAGAACCCUAUAACUUUUUACCUCUCCGAAAAUUCUCUCCAAAACCCCCUAAUUUCUGAAAAACCUCACCUUAUAUAGACUUUGUAGCUCUUCUCGAACCUUCUCCGCACACCCCUCUAAAAGUUUUUGUAAUUUCUUUACUAUGAAUGAUAUUUUGGAGGGCAAGGAUUGAUUUUCAUCCAUCCACGACUGCCAUUUAUCCAGCGAAUCGAUCCGGAGCUAAACAAUGCGCAAAAAUCUCAGUAUGGAAUCUUCAAUUUGUCAGAAACCGUUACAUUGUGGUGAGAGGGAGAGAGGGGAACACGUGGGGAGAAAUCUGAGGCUCACUCACACAGAUUUUGGCUAAAAUAGGGGUUUGAUUCGAGUUUUUCUUUGGAGAAGAAGAACAGUCGCGUUUGGGAUUAGGGGUUUUGAGUCUUAAGUCUGUAUGAAUCCGUUCAUGUAUUUUGUGGAGAUGGGUCACGGUUUGGGGGUAUCUAGGCCGGGUCUGGGGUGGAAAUAGUUUGGGCUUGGGAGAUUAGAAUUAAAAAAAAAAAAAAACAAAUUUU
rnacentral:lncRNA from 1 species